UGUCGGACCAGACAGGUUUGCGAGGAUGGCACUAAUGYGUCUGCUGCUCAUUUUUCUGCAGCGACUUUUCAUUUGCUGAUUACAAAGCAAGUUACAAGGGUUCCUUGUCUCUAUUUUACAGAUGGAGAAAGCAAAGUGCAGAGACAGGGACAGAGCUGAGAACAAAACCCAGUCUUAAGAUUCCCAGGGCCACAUAGCCAUGUGAUACACAUCAGUUGAUCCACUGAGGUCAAUACUAAGUUACACCAGCGAAGGAGCUGGGCCUACUAGAUUUUCUUGCUCAGGGCUCCUGUUUUUCYCAUCUCCGCGGUCAUGCCAGAGGCCUGCUGGACUUGCCCUCUGACCAACCGUCCACAGCUCAAGGAGUCAUGUGUGCCAACGCCAAGUCCUGCCAAGUCGCUGCGGUGGUGUCAUGCACAUGCUUCACACAAAGUUUUUCAUAUUCAAUAUUCUGUAAUAAUUCAAUCUGAUUAAUGCAGCAACAUGAGCAGCCUUGAGGCUAGCCACAGAAAUAGCUCUGCUUGUCAGCCAUCUCUUACAGCAUUUACUCUGGAAGAUUUACUUACUUUCCCACACAGAAAUACUUGAUUUUAUCACAGCAUUUUCUAAGCUCUGUUUUUUUACUACUUUUUAUUUCUUUUGCCAUUACAAAUUGUUGCAUUAUAGGCUUUGCUUUCUUCCCUGGAAAUCCAGCAGUAGUGAAUUGUGAAAAAAAUUAGCAUCCAACCUGAUCACUACUGACAUUUUCUUAAAUUAUGGUGCAUAUUAUGUAAUUGCUGUUUGUCUGCCUAUCCAUCACGUGCCUGCACAGUUCAACUUGCUCAAACGUAAUGCUGUAUUUUGGAUGUCCCAGCUUGAAACACUGUGUUAAGGCUUUGCAAAAGUCCUUAAGUGAGGAGGAGAAUCAAGCCUGAGGGAUGCAUUUUGAGUUGAUUACCAGAACUAUCCCUUUUUCGAAAGCCACGAUCACAUUCAGAAUGGAGAAGCUGAAUGCAGAGGAUCUGGCCGGGGGUGACACAGCAGGUCUGGGACUGUCUCUGCUGCCUUAUGAAAACCAGAUGUCACGGGGGAGCUGCAGUUCUCCAGCGGGAUCCUUCCGGAGGAGUUCCCUGCCUGAAGGUACGCGAGGAAAGCAGCGGGUUCCUACACAAGCUCAYAGUGCCACGUUUCCUCUUCCUCUUUCUGUCCCGACACAAGAAACUUUCAUCUUUGUCCCUCGACGCUUCUCAGAAACGCCUUGGCUCUCGCUCCCGCCCCGGGGCCCUGCAUCCGCGCAGCGGUGAGCAAGCCGGGGCCGUGCCGCGCCGCGGAGCCCCGCGCUGUGUUUUCCCGCGAGAUAACCGGGGUGGGGCUGCGGCCGCGCUUCCCACCCUGCCUGGCGUCACCUGCCUUGCCAUGUGCUGCAGACUCAGGUUUGUCUCUGCUCCAGGCUCUGGGACUGCAGAAUGCACCCGCCUGAGCAUGCUGGCCCCGGGAGUGGACUGCGGUGGACGUUCAAGUGAUUAAGACAUUGGUGCCAGAGACCCUUUCCCUGUUUGUCCUCUGAAGCCAACAGUGCAGGGCUCGGGAGAGGCACAGGAAAGAAGUUUGCUUCCACCAAGGUAAUGCAGGAGGGAGAGAGAGGUGAAGUGGUCUCCUUUCAGGUUCGARCUAGCUGAGUCUCCACUCACCUGAGUUGCCAUUGAAAACUUGAACCCUUGCUAAAAGUUUCAAGAGAAAGGGGUGAGUUGGAAGGGAAGGUUUAAGUCUAGAAACACCAGGAAACCUGCCAUUUUUGCACAUUCCUAGGGACAUUUUGGGUGAGUGAGAUGGUAGGGCUUGGUCCAGACUCACUGCUCAAAAUCUUUUUCAAAGGCUGCGAACCUUUCUUCGGAGAACCAGAGAAGAGGCCCAUGCGGCUGUUUGUGGACAGCACCUGCCAAGUUCUGCCUCGCUGUGGUGGUGAGGGACUAAAUGCAAGCCGUGCUGGGGAAUCAGCACCUUUCCACAGCAAGUCUCAUGGGCCAUGGACUCAUAUUCCUGAUCAGUGGUAAUUCCUGGGUGAAAAACAUCCUUCUUUCAAGGUGAGCAUCUGGCUCUCAAGCCAGCAAGAAAAGGCUUGGGGGAUUUCCCAGCGGAUCAGUACUGGACAGAGAGUUCGGUCUGGCUGCAGCGUAUAAGAUUGCAAACGUGUGCCCUUAACUACAUGCAACACACUUGCUCUGCUCCCUCUGCUAAGGUGAAUGCUUUACACCACACCGGUACAUAAACAGGUGCCUUUUCCUUUCCACAAUAAGAAAUAUAAUUACCUGCUUUUGAACACAUGAGAAAAAAGUGUCCUGUAAUGUGCUGCUACAUGGCAUCACAAUCCUGGAGGGCCGAUCACUUUACAGGUAAGUAGCCUUCCCUGUCCUCACUCCCUGCUUCAGUAAUGGGCCAAGGUCCCCUCUCAGCACCGCAGCACUGCUGUCUGCAGCCAGAUAACCGCGGUGCACAGGCAAGAGCCCUUGGCAGGUCACAAAGAGGA
rnacentral:lncRNA from 1 species